rnacentral:rRNA from 1 species
AGCAGCCGCGGUAAUUCCAGCUCCAAUAGCGUAUAUUAAAGUUGUUGCAGUUAAAAAGCUCGUAGUUGAAUUUCAGGCCUGGCUGGGCGGUCCGCCUUUUGGGUGAGUACUGCCUGUGGUCGGGUCCUACCUUCUGGCGAAGCGUCAUGGCCUUAACCGGCCGUGGCGGGGAACCAGGACUUUUACUGUGAAAAAAUUAGAGUGUUCAAAGCAGGCAUUCGCUUGAAUACAUUAGCAUGGAAUAAUGGAAUAGGACAGUGGUUCUAUUUGUUGGUUUCUAGGACCGUUGUAAUGAUUAAUAGGGAUAGUUGGGGGCAUUAGUAUUCAAUUGUCAGAGGUGAAAUUCUUGGAUUUAUUGAAGACUAACUACUGCGAAAGCAUUUGCCAAGGAUGUUUUCAUUAAUUAAGAACGAAAGUUAGGGGAUCGAAGACGAUCAGAUACCGUCGUAG